rnacentral:tRNA from 1 species
GGGCGGACGUAGCCAAGUGGCUCAAGGCAGUGGAUUGUG